UGGGGAAUAUUGCACAAUGGGGGCAACCCUGAUGCAGCGACGCCGCGUGAACGAAGAAGUUAUUCGUAUCGUAAAGUUCUGUCCUAUGGGAAGAUAAUGACAGUACCAUAGAAGAAAGCUCCGGCUAAAUACGUGCCAGCAGCCGCGGUAAUACGUAUGGAGCGAGCGUUGUCCGGAAUUAUUGGGCGUAAAGGGUACGCAGGCGGUUUAAUAAGUAGAAUGUUAAAGAUCGGGGCUCAACCCCGUAAAGCAUUGGAAACUGAUAAGCUUGAGUAGUGGAGAGGAAAGUAGAAUUCCUAGUGUAGUGGUGAAAUACGUAGAUAUUAGGAGGAAUACCAGUAGCGAAGGCGACUUUCUGGACACAAACUGACGCUGAGGUACGAAAGCGUGGGGAGCAAACAGG
rnacentral:rRNA from 1 species